AACGAACGCUGGCGGCAUGCCUAACACAUGCAAGUCGAACGAGACCUCCGGGUCUAGUGGCGCAUGGGGGCGUAACGCGUGGGAACCUGCCCUUAUGUACGGAAUAACUCUCCGAAAGGGGUGCUAAUACCGGAAAAUGUCUUCGGACCCAAGAUAUAUCGAACUUGGAUGGGCCCGCGUUGGAUUCGCUUGUUGGUAGGGUAAAAGCCUACCACGGCGACGAUCCAUAGCUGGUUACAGAGGAUGGUCAGCCACUCUUAGACUAGGACACGGCCCAGACUCCUACGGGAGGCGGGAGUGGCUGAUAUAGGACCAUCGGCUGAGGCCUGAUCCACCUCUGCCGGGUGAGUGAUGUUGUCCUUAGGGUUGUAAAGCUCUUUUACCCGGGAUGGUAAUGACGGUACCGAGAGAAUAAGCUCCGGCUAACUCCGUG
rnacentral:rRNA from 1 species